GCAUGGACGAAUUCUGUAUUACUCUUGAAAUAGUAAAUGCAGUCAGACACCAUGCUAAAUUAUUGUUUUCACACACUGACUCAACAACAGGGGAGGAUUGCUUGUGAUGUGUCCUCACUGUGUCACCGUGAAUACAGCC